rnacentral:tRNA from 2 species
AGGCCAGUAGCUCAACUUGGUAGAGCAGCGGUCUCCAAAACCGCAGGUUGGGGGUUCGAUUCCCUCCUGGCCUG